rnacentral:rRNA from 1 species
UGGGGAAUCUUGCGCAAUGCGCGAAAGCGUGACGCAGCAACGCCGCGUGGGGGAAGAAGGCCUUCGGGUUGUAAACCCCUUUCAGGAGGGACGAAGGUUCGGCGGUGAAUAGCCGACCGGACUGACGGUACCUCCACAAGAAGCCCCGGCUAACUACGUGCCAGCAGCCGCGGUAAUACGUAGGGGGCAAGCGUUGUCCGGAAUCAUUGGGCGUAAAGCGCGCGUAGGCGGCCCGGUAAGUCCGUUGUAAAAGUCAAAGGCUCAACCUUUGAAAGCCGAUGGAUACUGCCGGGCUAGAGUCCGGAAGAGGCGAGUAGAAUUCCUGGUGUAGCGGUGGAAUGCGCAGAUAUCAGGAGGAAUACCUAUAGCGAAGGCAGCUCGCUGGGACGGUACUGACGCUGAGGCGCGAAAGCGUGGGGAGCGAACAGG